rnacentral:rRNA from 1 species
CCUACGGGAGGCAGCAGUGGGGAAUAUUGCACAAUGGGGGAAACCCUGAUGCAGCGACGCCGCGUGAGUGAAGAAGUAUUUCGGUACGUAAAGCUCUGUCAGCAGGGAAGAAAAUGACGGUACCUGACCAAGAAGCCCCGGCUAACUACGUGCCAGCAGCCGCGGUAAUACGUAGGGGGCAAGCGUUAUCCGGAUUUACUGGGUGUAAAGGGAGCGUAGACGGCAGGGCAAGUCUGGAGUGAAAGGCGGUGGCCCAACCCCCGGACUGCUCUGGAAACUGCCAGGCUGGAGUGCAGGAGAGGUAAGUGGAAUUCCUAGUGUAGCGGUGAAAUGCGUAGAUAUUAGGAGGAACACCAGUGGCGAAGGCGGCUUACUGGACUGUAACUGACGUUGAGGCUCGAAAGCGUGGGGAGCAAACAGGAUUAGAUACCCGGGUAGUC